AUGGCUUCAGCACAAGGGACGUCUUAUCGCGGUUUUGACAUCAACUUACCAAAUCAGCUCGACAUGGAUGAUGAGCUUGCUGAUGUUGAUGUAAAUGACGAAGCUGAGGAGGGACUUAACGCAGCUAAGGCACCGCGAGCUCAAGUCAAUGCAGAAGGACAUCAGGUGGUGCAGGCCACCUCUAGUUCAAGUGGAAGUGGGAGCGGGAGCGGUAGCUGCACCAGUGGUAGUGACGGCUAUGAUGGCGAUUCACCCAGCUCCGGAGGGGAUGUUGAUAUAUGA
rnacentral:rRNA from 1 species